UAAAACUAGAAAUAAAAAAACUAUGAUGAAGGCCAAAACCAUGACACACACUAUGCUAUUACCUUCAGAGGAGAGGAGGCUCCGUGAAAUAUCAGAGACACUGCCAAAAUAAUUUUUACAAAGCAUUAUUACAUGGUUGUUGAUGUACACACUCUGAGAAGUUAUUUCCCUUCCUUGCAUUUAUUUCCAUGUAAAACUGACUUUGGGUUAUACAAGGACUUUGGGCUGAGUCCCUCGGUGCAACACUCCAGCUCAGCACUUAUGGAAUGCUGCAUGCCCGCCCACACAUCUUCACCCGCGGCUCCAUUGGAUGAAACAUCAUUUCCUGAGAUAUCACCCUGAAAUGUAUAGGGAGGCAACUGUCACUAUAUCAUGUAGAUGCAGUUACUGAGAUACACAGAGCCUAGAGGCUAGUAAAAGGCAGGGCCCGUUUGUGCCAUAGCCUCCGGUGGAAGAGCGUGGGAGAACAAUAGAACCCUUCCAUGUGUACAACACUGAGUUCAGAGUGUUCAAGGAGCUGGUUCCAAAGUUCUUAGAAAGAUAGCAAAAUCCGUAAUGAUGGGAAAAGAUGGAGUUACCCACUGUGGAUCCAUUCUGCAAUGUUUCUCCUUGAAGUGAGAUCAAAUGCCUGAGCACGAGUUGUCCUGAGGUCUCCUCCUUUUGAAAGAGAUUGGCCAGAAAUCAAUUGCCUGAUUGAAGUCAGCCUUGCUGUUAACUAAAGAUCAAGCCAGAUGGCGCAGGUCACUAAAGAUGACUGGUUCUGCCCCUGCUGGGAACAGUUCUUGGGCCAGCUGCUCUAAGUCCCCCGCCAGCUUUCCACAAAUGUCUGACCAUCUUGUCACCCUCUUCCUGCAGACAUGAUCAGACACAUUCCCUUCCCCUGAGCCUGUCUGUAGGGAACUGUGCAGUGCCAGCAGAGUUCUGGAAGGAUGAAGUGCUGAGUCUCUGUUGGGUACAGACACAUCCAGUUACUGGCAGGACAGAGUAGUGCUGUGGGCAUUUAAUCAAGAUUCUGUUAGGCAGGGAGGUGUGCUGAGGCUGGAGUUCAGCAGGGAAUGAGAGCAAUUGCUUAUAUUUCCUGAGGAGCUACGAUGGCCAGCUCAGCACUAAGUGCUUCAUAUACAUUACUUCAUUUAAUUCCCACAACAUUCCAGUGAGGCUGGUGGGUACUAGUACUGCUACUGUCCCUUUUCACAGAGAAGGAAACUGAGGUUCCAGGUCAUAAAGAAGUUGCUUAAGCAUACAGCUAAGAGCAGGAGAGCCAGGAUGUUAGCCAGUUGGUCUGAUUCCAGAGUAAGGUCUUCAGGUCUUGGAAUCAGAGUUGGUCUGAUUCCGAGGUUGGUCUGUCUGCAAAGACAUCAAGGAGUUCACAGUGCAGUGGGAGAGAGAGACAAGCCAGCUGGGAUUAUAUGAAAUGAUAUGAGGAUAUGAUAUGGUGGGCCUCGCCCAAUCAGCUGAAGGCCUGAAGAGAACAGAAGGCUGAACCUCCUGUGAGUAAAAGUCCUCCUGCCUGGAUGCUUUCAAACUGGGACAUCAGCUUUUUUUCCUGCCUUCAGACUCGAACUGAAGGAUCCACUCCACUCUUCCUGGGUCUCCAGCUUGCAGACUCCCUCUGCAGAUCUUGGGACCUGCCCACCUUUAUAAUUACGUGAACCAAUUCCUUAUAAUGAAUCGCUUUAUUUGCACACACACACGUCCUAUUGGUUGUUUCCCUGGAGAGCCGUGACUUGUACACACCCUGUUCUUAUUCUGUCACAAUGCCUGUUACAACAUCUCAGCACUGGCCAUUUAACUGCAUCUCCUACUGAGCUGGAAGCUCUGGUGGAUAGGGGCAGGUCUGCUCAUUCACUGCUGCCUUCCCUGCACCUGGUACCAUGCACACAGAAUAAGCCUAGCAGAAUGCCUGUGGAUGGACUGACCAAUGAAAGUAAUGAGGUGCUGGGACCCGAAGGCUGAGUGGCAUGAGUCAUGAGGAGGCAUAGGUGGAGUUGGAGGUGGGAGGAGGAUGAUGUAGCAAAGGGCCAGGCGGGUUCAGGCACGUUCCUGGCGGAAGGUGCUCUGAUGCUGUGGAAGACAGUUUCUUCAUGGAUUCCAACUGCUUGAUUUGUGGGAAUGACUCAACCAUGCCUGUUCUCCCCCACCUUUG
rnacentral:lncRNA from 10 species